AAAAGUUCACAUGUUCUCAAAGAAGUAAAAGAACAAUUUGUGCUUUAUGCAAUGUCGUAUAAAAUGUUUGGUUUUUUUCCUUUUUUCUUUAACCAUCCAUUCAUAUUUAUGUGUACGUAGUUCACCCCAACGUCUUUUUCCCUACCGCCAAUUCUAAAAGUCCAAGCCAUUAAACUAAAACUCUGUCUAAUAUCAACUUUGUC
rnacentral:lncRNA from 1 species